rnacentral:rRNA from 1 species
AGUGAACGCUGGCGGUAGGCCUAACACAUGCAAGUCGAACGGCAGCACAGUAAGAGCUUGCUCUUACGGGUGGCGGGUGGCGGACGGGUGAGGAAUACAUCGGAAUCUACCUUUUCGUGGGGGAUAACGUAGGGAAACUUACGCUAAUACCGCAUACGACCUACGGGUGAAAGCAGGGGAUCUUCGGACCUUGCGCGAUUGAAUGAGCCGAUGUCGGAUUAGCUAGUUGGCGGGGUAAAGGCCCACCAAGGCGACGAUCCGUAGCUGGUCUGAGAGGAUGAUCAGCCACACUGGAACUGAGACACGGUCCAGACUCCUACGGGAGGCAGCAGUGGGGAAUAUUGGACAAUGGGCGCAAGCCUGAUCCAGCCAUACCGCGUGGGUGAAGAAGGCCUUCGGGUUGUAAAGCCCUUUUGUUGGGAAAGAAAAGCAGCAGGUUAAUACCCCGCUGUUCUGACGGUACCCAAAGAAUAAGCACCGGCUAACUUCGUG